CCCUUCCGUUGUUCUCAUGUGCCGACAUGAUGUUCAUCUUUGUCGUGCUCGAUGCCACGCGCUCUCUUCUUUGCCGUAUUUCUUUUUUAUUUUCCUUUUCUUGUGUCCUUUCCUUUCUGCCUGCUCAGAUUGUUGUGCAUAGUAAUGGCACAAAUCGAGGACAAGAGUGCACUCCUCUCCUCCCAACAGUCACACUCAACACACACACACACACACACACACACACACACACACACACACAAAAAAAAAAAACAGACACGCGCGAACGUGCACAUAAACAGGCGAGUCCUGUCAUGCAAAGGAGCUUACACUGAGGCAGACGCAUGUGUGUAUGUGCGCGCGAUGCGUGUGAUGUGCGUAGACAGGUCCUUUCUUCUCUUUCAUUUCUCUCAGAGCUUCCCCCUCCCUUUUUGUUGAGCGUCAUGACGUUGGUCGCUAUUUUGUCUUUUUUUUUGUAUUUGCCGUCGAUCUUGUGCCUCUCUCUCUCUUGAUCAUUUUUACUGUUGUUCGUCAACGCCUUUCACUCACCUGUGCAAUCAUUCUUAUUUUCUUUUUUAGUGCUGUGUGCUCAUGGUUUCGUGUAUGGCGCGCUCAUGUUUGCGCAUCUGCACCGGUGAAAGAUGCCAGGGAGAUGUGCAAGGCAUUGGAAAGAAUCCGAGAACACCUCUUUGCUUUACUUCCACUUUUGUUUUCCCUGUUUAUGUGUGCCAUCCAGCUGCGCCACCGGGUUUUAUUCGCGAUCACAUCAGCUUCUCCCAUCAUACGCGCAGCCACAUGAAACACACACACACACACGGUCAACAACAAAACCAUCAACCCACCUCUUCUCAAGCCGGCUCUGCACGGACAUGCAUUUAUUGUCUAUGAAUUCACGCUGUGUAUAGGUUUCUGCAUAUGUGCAUAUAAUUUCUCCUUCAUGCGAUACGUAACCGUCUCGUGUGUGCCUUCUAACACACCCUAAGUUGCAGCGCUCUCUCACUCUCUCUCACGCCCGCUGCCCUCGCCCCUUUCCUGCUGAGCUCCUUUUCUCCCCCCUCUUCCUCAGCAUAAGUUUGGCGUUCCAACGCCUUCCAUUCUCGUUUUGCUGCUCUGCUUCUUAUGCCUGUUCACCACCAUCAUACAGUUGUGGAGGGAAGCGACUAUGUGUAACCACCGUCAUACAGCAAGAAGAACACAUCACUCGGAUAUACGCAGCGCCUCUUCUGUUAUCUGAACUUUUUAUUUUUCUAUAUUCUGUGUGUGUCUCUCUUUUACGUGACGUGCGUGCGCGCGUGUAGGGGCGGUUUUGCCUCUGUCUUCUCCGUGUUCGCUUCCCCCCCCCUUUUCCGCCUUUUGAGCGCCUGCAUCUUGCGCUCUUUAUCCUGGACUCGUGUUCCUGCGCCACCGUUAUGUGCUUCAUUUUCCACGUUCUCCUUUGGCUUUCAUCAUUACUUUUUUUUUUGUGCUCAGAGAGGGCGGUGUGGCGGAGGGCAUAGCAGUGGGGAGAAGGGGGCCAUAUCACACUUGCUUGUUCAUUUGUGUAUCUCAUGGGAGGAUAUGGCAAACAGGCGAUCUAGACUCGCACACCGAUGUGUGCGCAUCACCAUGCAUCACGUUCAUCCUGUCUUUCUUUCUUGUGCUAUUAUUCGCCGUAUAUAUUUGCUCCAUCGAGUCCGAUCUCUGUGCGCGUCUGUGUGUUGGAAGGGGAGGUAUAUAUAUAUAUAUGUGUAAGUGUGUAUGCGCUUAUCCAUUCUUUUUGUUUUCGUUUCGUUGUUGCUGUACGAUGCGAUGACUGCGCUCGUGCAAGUUUGUGUUUGUUUUCACCCUGCAGGCAUCGCCAAGGGCAAGACAAGAAAGGUAAGCAAGGAGAGGAGGCGAGUCGAAAGAAACGAAAAACCUCGAAGCGACAAGGACAGGAGGAAUAAGAAGGGCUGCGAUGGAGGGAGGCUGAUGGAGAAGGGGAGACGCAGGAGCAUGUCAUCUGUAAAAAGGAAGAGGGCGAAACAAGAAACAGGAAGAAAACGACUGCUUUAUGCAAGAGUGGUUUGCUUGCCGACGAGACAGCAGGCAUACAUGUGUACGUGUCGCAUACAGCCAUGGGAAAAGGGUCCGAAGAAAGAUCCUAACAGACAAGCUCCCCUUUCGGCAUCCCUCCCCCUGCCCCCUUCCACCCCCUUUCCCUCCCUUUUAUUUGAUCUUUGCGUUCGUCGCUCUCUCCGCCUCGCUAGCAUCUUUUUGUUGUUGCUGUUGCUCAUGUACGUGUUUAUUUACAUGAAGUGCGCGGGAGGCGACAAGCCCGCACAUACGCCAAAAGGAAGAUGAACGCUACUCGCAUUCUUCUUCGUCUUCCUUCCUCCUACUCGUUUUACCUGUUGUAUGCACCGCCUACAUGUCUGUGUGUGAGCCUGUGUGCAUGUGCUCGUGUUUUUAUUGAUUUUUGUGCUCCUUUUUUUUUUGCCUCCUAAGCACGCGUGUGUCGAUGAAGAUCAGAUACGUAUCCUUCCCCCUUUUUUCUCUCGGUUGGCUUUGCAUUUUUUCUUUGUCUAUUUCGCUUGCCUGCCAGGCACGCACGCACGCAUGUGCGUGUAUGCAUGGGGGAGGGGAGACAACUUUUAUGCACGAAAAGAGUAAAGCAUCAUGGCAACGGAAGGAAU
rnacentral:misc_RNA from 1 species